rnacentral:lncRNA from 1 species
AGUAACAAAAUACAAAAGCUUUGUUUUCAUAGACAUAUAAGGAAGAAGAGUCUCCCAUCAUGUUUGUGGGGAAAAGAGAAGCCUCCAUCCCAACUUCUCAGGCACUGCCAGCCGCGUUAGAGUCGGGGGUGCAGGCAGAAGGGCUGCUGUGCUCGGUGCCCGGAGAAUCAGAGGAGAGGGAGUUCCGGAGAAGAGCCUGGUGCCUCUCAAGCAGCACACGAGCAGGAGCCACACUGUGUUUGUUCUUGCAUUCCCAUGUACGAGAGUCUCUGGCACAUAGUAGGUGCCCAACAAAAGUUUGACGAAUGACUUGAACGCCUUCUUUAGAAGGGGCCUACUCUGCCAAAUGCAAGGCAACGCAGUGUGGGGGGAAAUUCUGGUUUCUUCCCAUCUCCACUCAAGCCCCUUCCCAUCUCCACCCACACUCAGCAGGUCCCCAGGAGACACAGCAGCCCGGUCACCUGCAAACGGCAGCAGGCUUGGCCUUCCCAGGAAUGACUAACAAAAAGAGCAAGUUGUGAAAGCUCAAACCAUUAACCAAAAUGAUGGUCCAUAACCCCUUUAGUCAUCCACAGACCCAGGAGGGUGAUGAAUUGGAAGCAACCGACCAUGUCUGAAUUCUUUUUCAUGUCAAAUUUGGAGGUAGCUCCUACCUCCUGCCGUUGAAAACUAUAGCCAGAAGGCCUCUUUCAGAAGACAUCCUGUCUGUGUUUCCCCAAGAUGCUGAAGAAAGGCUCCGAAAAUGAGCCCUGACUCUUCACCAUCUGACUUCAAACACACUCAAUCUCCGCUCGCCGGGGUCGGCAGAAUUCAGCUGCUGAAGUGCAGUCGAAGGUCACUGCAAAUCAGCAGUCUUUGCAGAGACCUUCCAGGCUGGCCGCUGCUGGCAUCCAUCCACAUCCAUCCAAACGGAUCUGCAGAAAACGUGAAUGACAUCUCCCGCUGCCCUUUAAAAUGUUUUGGACUGGAGCUCUCAGCAUCCCCAUCUUAAGCCACUCAGGUCCUCUGCUUUGCAAGGAUGUUCUGUGAGGUGAUGCCCAGAGAAGAUGUGAGCAGCCAUGUCACCCAGCACUGACCUUCAGCCUCGGGAACACAGAGGAGUCAGGUUGAGGGUAAAGGGAGAAAAGGUUUAUCACAAUAGAAAACAUGUCUCGCAGCACAAAUCGCAUCUCUUUUGGU